rnacentral:rRNA from 1 species
GAUGAACGCUGGCGGCGUGCCUAAUACAUGCAAGUCGAGCGAAUGGAUUAAGAGCUUGCUCUUAUGAAGUUAGCGGCGGACGGGUGAGUAACACGUGGGUAACCUGCCCAUAAGACUAGGAUAACUCCGGGAAACCGGGGCUAAUACCGGAUAACAUUUUGAACCGCAUGGUUCGAAAUUGAAAGGCGGCUUCGGCUGUCACUUAUGGAUGGACCCGCGUCGCAUUAGCUAGUUGGUGAGGUAACGGCUCACCAAGGCAACGAUGCGUAGCCGACCUGAGAGGGUGAUCGGCCACACUGGGACUGAGACACGGCCCAGACUCCUACGGGAGGCAGUAGUAGGGAAUCUUCCGUAAUGGACGAAAGUCUGACGGAGCAACGCCGCGUGAGUGAUGAAGGCUUUCGGGUCGUAAAACUCUGUUGUUAGGGAAGAACAAGUGCUAGUUGAAUAAGCUGGCACCUUGACGGUACCUAACCAGAAAGCCACGGCUAACUACGUGCCAGCAGCCGCCGUAA